AUCUUCAUAGGGAAAAUGGCCAAUCAGUGGACAGCUAGACAGGAAAGACAGCUAGUACAGGAAAGACAUCACACAUCCUUCAACAGAGAAAUUGAAGAGGCUGAUAAAAAUUUAGGAAAUAGGAUCUCAGGAGACCUGAAGUGGGUAUGGAAAGCCAAGGUUUUAUCUCUUCCCAACAAUAAACCUACUGCAAGAAAGACUUAGGGUUCUUUCGAGCUCUAGUCAAUGGCAGGGGCAAAGUUCAAUUUGUGAAUCAUCAGAUUGCCUCAUAAUCCAUGUAACAAAUUAACCAAAAUAUUUUGGGUGCAUAUAGAUAUCACCCUAGAACCCAGGGGAUAUUGAUCAAAGAUGAACUUAUAUUUAACAGUGUUUGCUUAGACCCCAAAAUUCUGAAAUUUCAGGGACCCUCAGCCCCCUCUCUGGAUGUCCAGUCUAGAGUCUGGGGUUGCAAGCAGUGCAGCUCCAGCCACUCCAGGGUCCACUGAGAUGAGAAGUAACUUGAGUCUGUGAGUAAAUGGGAUGGGGCACCGGCUGUCCCUUUGGGUGGUAGCAACCACCUGCUUUCUCUCAUCUUACACUUGGACUAGGGAAGACCUGUGGAAGGACCCCAGCUUGGGCCAGCAGUACAACUGGCACUAGAGCUAGUGGGAUGGGUGGGGUUUGGAAUCUCACAGGUGCUAGGUCUGCCAGGAAGUUCAGAUUUGGUCUUUUGGGGGAGAGGACAAUGCUACAAAUUUGCACUUUGAAAAAUCUCUGUAGGUGGUGCUACUGUGGCAAUUCUCUCACUCCUAUACAUCCCUUUAUUCACACACACACAAAACAAAUGAACAGAUAUAAAACAAUUUUUCUGGCUGCACCCAAGGCAUACAGAAAUUCCUGGGCCAGGGAUUGAACCUGAGCUACUGCAGUGACACCACCAGAUACUUAACCUGCUGAGCCAUACAGGAACUAAAAAAUAGUAACAAUAAUUUUUUUUGAGAUGAAACUUGUCCUUUAAAGUUUUCUCUCUUUUUUUUUUUUCUUUUUACAGCCACAUCUGCAGCAUAUGCAAGUUCCCAGGCCAUGGUCGUAUCUGACCUGCAGCUGAGGCCUACACUACAGCUACUGCAGUGCUGGAUCCAAGGUACCUCUGCAGCCUACGCCACAGCUUGCGGCAAUACCAGAUCCUUAACUCACUGAGCAAGUCUAGGGAUUGAACCUGCAUUCUCACUGACAUAAGAUCGGCUUCUUAACCCACUGAGCCACAGUGGGAACUCCUCCCUGUUUCUCUCGAUUGGAGAACGCAUGGCCUUUUUUUUUUUUGCUUGUUACACUAAUAUACUAAAACAGGAAAUUUUGUUUUUCUAAUAUACUAAGAAAGGUAUAUAUUUCCUCAUGAAUAAGUUCAUUGAUAUGAAGUUAUGGUUUACUGUGAGAUGAUUUAAGACCAUGGUUCUCUGCCCCUCAGAGACCCUGGAAUCACAUGGGUCAGAAACUUUUGAGGUGAGUCUCAGAUAGAGGAUGUUUUUAAGAGCACUCUGGGGUCCUACGAAUUGUGACCAGGGUUGAGAUCCCCGGCCAAGCAGCGUCUGCUUUCUGUCUUUUCACCUAGUAUUGUGUGAUUUCUUUAUUAUAGUACAGCAGUUAGUGUUCAGAUUUUCACUCCAGUGAAAAUUCCAAAUAAAAUUCAGGAAACUAGAAAGUGGAGGGUGAGGUGGCGCCGAGGGCGUAUACUUAUUGUGCUUACAUGAUUCACUGCUGUUAUUUACUUCCUGUGUAAUCUAUGGUCACCAUCAGACAUUUGUGCCUUCACAGUAUAUCCUACACCCUGUUCUUUCUCACAGUUGCUGUAGUAACAGUAAAUUGCCACCUUAUUUUAAGGAAUACAAUUGUGACAUAAAGUAUAAGGUUCAGCGGUAGGUGUGCAGAUGGCUGGCAUCUGGAUGAAUGAAUAAGCUCCCAUUCUCUUUCUAUCUUUCUCAAACUGUCUCUUUACUCCAAGAGCCAGUUCUUUUUCCCACCAAUUCUGUUUUUAUUAGGGAAAUAAGACUGCUUUCUGGGAGAUAAAACGCGUCCUGGAUAAAAUCAGAGAUAUUCGCCUCCCAGGGCAGAGUGAAUGACUUAGCUAUAACUUAAUUCAAAUGCUAAGGAGAGAGUGCCCUUGUUUUCACUGCUGGACAUGUUCCUGUUGCAGAAACAGAUGCAUGAGGUUUUUGGAUCCAAUUAUAAGUUUAAUCAUUGUUAAUAAUUAUCACUCAUUUAUCUUUCAGUAAUCUAUAAUUCAGUAUCUUCCUGAAAGCUGUCCUUGCUGGAUAAUUUUGUCAGCCUCAGCUCUAGGCGCCAAGUGCAAGGGAGUUUAGCCAUGGGGAGGAGGCUACUUGACCCAAGUACAAAUAGAAAAUUAGGCUUAAAGGGUGCUUGUAGCAGAGGGGCCAGAGUAUGCUGACGUCAGGGGAGCUUUCCCGGUGAAAAUGAUCUGCGUGGAGCCUGACUGUCCCAGCAAAGUUCCGCGUUCGGGGUGGUGGCGAUGGUGGCUGUGACUGCUACGCCACCGCGACUGUUGUUAGUGAGACCCCUGCCGGCUGGAUUGGGUGCCGACUUCAGCCGAACAAUGCCUCAUGUUUUACCUACCUAAUAUUCCCCCCUCUCCGAAAUAACAGGUGUUGCCCUGUUUCAGACAGGUUUGCUGAGGCUUAGAGGGGAAAGUCAGCUCAGGGCUGCCCCCGCACUCACUAAACGGCCCAGGCAGGAUUUACGUCCCCCAGGCUGCUGAGUAGGGAGCUCAGUGCUCUCAUUCACUGCCCUGUGUGCUCCACACCCCGGGAUUUUCUUGCAGAUCUCUUUAGGGUCUAAACAUGUGACAGAUGACAAUGUUUGAGACCCGCGGUAACAUUCAUGACACCGUUUUCACUGAGGCUCUCGGGAGGCGAUUUCCAUCUUGCUUUGGAGCAGACUCCCAGACGCCGAGUUAAAAAUGGUCACCUCCCUUGUGAAGGACCCUCCAUCAUGUACCAGGCACUCAAGGUUUCUUGCAGGCAGAUCCAAAAGAUAAAGUUCUGAUGAAUUCUCUUAAGAGAGUGUUGGAAAUUUGUCCUUUGGAGCUCUGCAGAUGUCAAAGAUUUCAGCAUGCUUAAUUGGAAUGAGAGGGCUGGAUAUAGCAUAAAAAAUGGCAUUUACAAUUGCUGGGUUAUAGAUCUGUCAUUUCAUUGAGGUGGAAUUGGAAAGCUAUCACGGUCGAUCAUCUUUCUUUUUGGACUUGCUCAUUCUUACUGCUACGUUUCUUGGAGAUGGCCUUUAAAAGCGUUUAUAUUUUGUCUUAUUCUGCCCUGAGCCUUAGUUACUAAUAUCUCUUGGAGUCUUUCUGUAUUGUAAUCUUCUGCACAUCUUUCUCUUUGCUCUCUUUCCAGAUUACUUUCCCCCAAGCCCUCCACAUCAUAGUUUUUGUUUAUUUUUAUUUUGUUUCAUUUUACUCAUUAUCUUUCCACAUCUUGACUAUUAUUUUUGGACUUUCCAAUUACCUUAUGUUUUACAUCUUUUUUUUUUUUUUCCCUUUCUUUCCUCUUACACGAAACUGCACUAUCCCCCUGAUGGCUUUUAAAAUGAAUUUCAGAGUUUCCCUUGUGGCUCAGUGGUAACGAACCCAACUAGUGUCCAUGAGGAUGUGGGUUUGACCCCUGGCCUCACUCAGUGGGUUAAGGAUCCAGCAUUGCUGUGAGCUGUGGUGUAGGUCACAGAAACGGUUUGUUGUGGCUGUGGAACAGACCGGCAGCUGCAGCUCCAAUUGGACCCCAGUCCAGGAAUUUCCAUAUGUCA
rnacentral:lncRNA from 1 species